ensembl:snoRNA
CUCGCACCUAAACCCAAGAAUCAGUUUCUUGUAGCGGUGGUUUAAACAGAGGUGCAAGUAGCAAGUGAACCUCGUUGCCUUUGAGGGCCUGCGGCCAUGCCCCUCAAAGUGAAUUUGGAGGUUCUACAUCA